rnacentral:sRNA from 1 species
UCGUAACAUCAAGAUUCAAGUUUUGUUCCUGUGCCCUCAACCCUCACUGAAAUGUAUGAUGUUCGAUAGAAAAUGUUUCUUUCUCUUGUUUCCUUGAAGCCAGUGUGUUCUCAUCUUUUGAUGCAUAACUGUUACCCUUAGAUAUACACACUUACUUUUGUCAAUAUAUAUGAGGAGACAGUCACUCAUUCUUUCAAUCUGAAUACAAUUCGAUAACCAGUGUUGUUUAUAAGCCUUGAAUGUAUUAUGUUUUGUAGUACUUUUAAC